rnacentral:rRNA from 1 species
CCUACGAGAGGCAGCAGUGGGGAAUAUUGCACAAUGGGGGAAACCCUGAUGCAGCGACGCCGCGUGAGCGAUGAAGUAUUUCGGUAUGUAAAGCUCUAUCAGCAGGGAAGAAGAUGACGGUACUUGACUAAGAAGCCCUGGCUAACUACGUGCCAGCAGCCGCGGUAAGACGUAGGGGGCAAGCGUUAGCCGGAUUUACUGGGGGUAAAGGGAGCGUAGAUGGCGUUGCAAGCCAGCUGUGAAAGCGCGGGGCUCAACCCCGGGACUGCAGUUGGAACUGUGUGGCUGGAGUGUCGGAGAGGCAGGCAGAAUUCCUGGUGUAGCGGUGAAAUGCGUAGAUAUUAGGAGGAACACCGGUGGCGAAGGCGGCCUGCUGGACGAUGACUGACGUUGAGGCUCGAAAGCGUGGGGAGCAAACAGGAUUAGAUACCCGAGUAGUC